GGGAAAAUGGAGAAUGCAUUACAUUGAUAAUGAAUAAUUUCUUGCAUUAUAUGAUUUACAUUACAGAAUUUGUCUAAAAUAUUCGAGAAAAGAAUGCAAUUUGAGCAAAAAAUGAUUAUAACAUUAUUGUUAUGGAAUGCAUUAUAUUAUUCAUCCCAAUAGAAGCGAAAUGGUAAUUUCAUUUGACGAAAUCUGCAAACUGAUUACCGUCUAUAUUCCAGAAUCUAUACAUGAUGGAAUGUGUAGUUUCAUAGUUUUUUUUCUUGUUUUUUUGUGUCCCGUUAUUUUCGGGCGACUUCAUGUCGCGUUAUUGUUGAAAUUUGUAAAUUUGUUUAGUUUCGUUUCAUUUGUGUGACAGUGAAGACGUAAGUUUAUAAAAUGUAUUGAAAGCGACAUUGGAGGCGUUUAAUAUUAAAAAAUUGGGGAAGACUUACCUUCGUUUAUACCUAUCAUGGAAAGAAUCUUGAUUCCUUCUGGAGUUGUAAAAAACUUAUGUAGAGUAGAAGAAUUAAUUAUGAACUAUAACUUUGAAGGAAUAAAAGGAAAAAUGGCUUUUAAGUCCUUUGAAAAUAUAAAUAAGUUAAUGUAUGAGGUGUCAAAGAGGGAAGGAUACGAUGAG